GAUGAACGCUGGCGGCGUGCUUAACACAUGCAAGUCGAACGGGAUCCAUCAGGCUUUGCUUGGUGGUGAGAGUGGCGAACGGGUGAGUAAUGCGUGACCGACCUGCCCCAUACACCGGAAUAGCUCCUGGAAACGGGUGGUAAUGCCGGAUGCUCCAGUUGAUCGCAUGGUCUUCUGGGAAAGCUUUCGCGGUAUGGGAUGGGGUCGCGUCCUAUCAGCUUGACGGCGGGGUAACGGCCCACCGUGGCUUCGACGGGUAGCCGGCCUGAGAGGGCGACCGGCCACAUUGGGACUGAGAUACGGCCCAGACUCCUACGGGAGGCAGCAGUGGGGAAUAUUGCACAAUGGGCGCAAGCCUGAUGCAGCGACGCCGCGUGAGGGAUGGAGGCCCUCGGGUUGUAAACCUCUUUUAUCGGGGAGCAAGCGAGAGUGAGU
rnacentral:rRNA from 1 species